UUACUCCUACGUCUGCGCCUGCGCCAGGUGUUCCCCCAUGCGCCUGCGCACCGCAGGGAGCUCCAGUGUCAGGCUCCUCCUCCUCACUCUUUCGCUUUCACUUUCCCAACAGCAAGGGGAUCUUCCAGUUGCUUAAGAAUUAGAUGGAAAAUGAAAGGGGAGGCUUUCCCCUUUUCCCCAACUGCUGGAACCCGGACUCUAAUAUCUGCACCUGGCCGAGUCUUGUGAGAGACAGACACACCCACACAACAGCACAGAGUCUUGGGGAACAUCUACAGUUGGGAGAGGUGGAGUCAAGAUGGUGUCUUAGACGCAGCAAAAGUCCAGAACUCUCUAAAACCCUUCUACACCCAUCAAAAACAAGGUGCUUCGAGGGGACAGAAAACCAAAUCUAA
rnacentral:lncRNA from 1 species